rfam:Streptomyces pluripotens strain MTSC 137 chromosome, complete genome.
UGGCUGUGCGCACGAAAUCGCGGUCCGGUUGGUAGCCCGGACGCUGUCGUAGUACGGCAGUCUGUAUCCGCCCUCUCCAGGGAUGUCCCGUGUGCCGGAAUCCGGC